AUUGAACGCUGGCGGCAGGCCUAACACAUGCAAGUCGAACGAGUGGCGGACGGGUGAGUAAUGUCUGGGAAACUGCCUGAUGGCGGGGGAUAACUACUGGAAACGGUAGCUAAUACCGCAUACCAUAAGUUGUGCCCAGAUGGGAUGAGCUGGUUGGUGGGGUACAGGCUGACCAAGGCGACGAUCCCGAGCUGGUCUGAGAGGAUGACCAGCCACACUGGAAUGUGGCCACGGUCCAGACUCCUACGGGAGGAAGCAGUGGGGAAUAUUGCACAAUGGGCGCGAGCCUGAUGCAGCCAUGCGGCGUGUAUGAAGAAGGCCUUCGGGUUGUAAAGUACUUUCAGCGGGGAGGCGUUACCCGCAGAAGAAGCACCGGCUAACUCCGUGCCAGCAGCCGCGGUAAUUC
rnacentral:rRNA from 1 species